AAUCCAAACAAUUAAUACAUCUUAUUACUUAAGUUGGUAAACGGUUGCGUGAGGUUUAAAGCCGGUUACCAGAUUUCGUUUUAAGGAAUAAAACGUUUUCAGGAUGAAAUCAGGGACACCUCCAGGAAGGAGAUUGAGAACCGAGCGGAGAGUCUUGGUGGGGCAGGAGCCUAAAGGGAAUGAGUCAUGGAUGAUACAGGAUGGAUAAGUCAGGACGAAAGUUGGACGCCAGCAAGGAUUGUCGGUCAGGAAGGCCAUUAAGGAAAAGUUUUCAAGGAUGAGCAGGGACGCAAAGGUGUAGCGGGAUGGCUAUGAAACGAAUCGGGGGUACUGAGCAAUCAGUACCCCCAUUUUUUUGC
rnacentral:other from 1 species